UUAGCUGCCUCAGUUUUAUUCUCUCUUCUCCGCAAGUUGUCGUCCUCUCUCAGUUCCCAUAAGUCAUCUUUGCAGAUAACUUCUGAGUCACUAUUUCCACCCGUGGUUUACCGCUCCGACGCUGCCGUUGUCCCCUGGUUGUGCCCUCCAAGUUCCAGCUCCGUGUGUCUCCUACGUGGUCGUGAAUCAACAGAUCUAAAGACAGAGCUGUCAUGAUUCAGCAGAUCUGAAGCCGGCGUCUCGCGUUCUUGGUCCAUGCAGUUAUCGCCGUCGCAUUUCCCUCUGUGCUCGCCUUCAUCCUUCUUUUCCUGAGACUUCGCCGUUCAAUAGAGCCAGAUCUCAUCUCAACUCCGUGGGCUCCAAACUCCAGUUCGAUCCACGUGCUCCAGAUCAGAUCAUCUGCCGUGUGUCAUGCUGCUCUUCGUUCAUCUAUCCAGCGCUCAUAUAUAAAUAGAGGUCUGUGCUGGACUAUUAUCCCGACUUCAAGAAUACAAAGCUGAACAUGCGCAGCUAGAGGAACUUCUUAGUGCAGAGGUUAAACUCUAUAUUUGAGAGGGCGUUCUACUUAAUUAUCAUUGCUAGACACUCACGUCAUUAUGCGAGCAGCAGAUAGAAUGUAAAUGAGUACUGUACAACGAAGUAAGAAUGGUGUUAGAUGUACUUAUUUAUACCAUGUAAGCAUGGGAGUAUUGGAAAUGUUUUAAAAUUCUUAAAUUGUAAUCUACAUUAUAAUUAUUUAUAUUGUAAUAUCGAAAAUUAAUUAGUUGAACUUUUGUAUAUAAUGGAUUUGCUUGUAUACUUAUAUUAAUCAUAUAAAUAUGUUUUUUUGUUUACCAGUCA